AUGACGGUAGCAUGCAGCAACAGGUCGCUCUUCCUCCUCGCCGUGAUCCCGAACGCCUCCGCCAUGUCAAGCUCCUCCGUGCCGCCGGGGAGCUCCCAGUCGAAAUGGAAGAGGAGGCUCGCCAGCGCGAGCUCCAUGACAGCGAGCGCGAACGCGAUCCCGGGGCAAAUCCUGCGCCCCGCGCCGAACGGCACGAGCUCGAAGUCCUCCCCUCCGAAGUCCACCGCCGCCACGGAGUCUUCCUCGAACCUCUCCGGCCGAAACUCCUCGGCGUCUGGGCCCCAGCUCGCCGCGUCACGGCCGAUGGCCCACGCAUUGACCAGCACCAUGGCGCCCUGGGGCACGUCGUACCCCAGGACGCGGCGGGUCUCCCGGCACUCCCGAGGAACCAGCAGCGGCACCGUUGCGUGCAGCCGGAGCGUCUCCUUGAUCACCAGCCGCAGGUACGGCAGCUCCUGCAGGGCCUCCUCCCGGACGCGGCUCUGCCCGGCGAGCGCGCCCCGCACCUCUGCCUGCGCCCUCCGGAGCGCCGGCCGGUUCCGCAUGAGCUCCGCCGUGGCCCACUGCAGCGUCGACGCCGAGGACUCGCUCCCGGCCCCGAAGAGAUCCCUCACCACGGCACGGAUGGUCCCGAUGUCGAGAGGCGCGCUGCCACCGCCGUCCAGAAGCACAUCCAGGAUGUCCGCCUUCUCCUCCUCCCUUGCAGCGCCGGCCGCCUUCCUCGUGCGUUUCUCGUCGAUGACGCCGUCCAUGAGCCGGGUCAUCUCCCGGACCACCGCCUCCACCCUGCGCGCCGUCCCGCUGAGCGCACGCGCGAGGCGCGACGACGGGAACAGGUCGGCGAGGCUGAACCCGGCGGACACUCUGAUGCCCUCGUCCAGGCACUCCAGGAAGGCGUCGCGGUCCGCGAUCCGAUCGCCGACCAUGGCGCGCACCGCCACAUCGGCGACGUACGUGGUGACGAGGGAGCUGAUGUUCACGGCGGCUCCUGCCGCUGCGUCCGCGGCCACAGAGGCGACGAGGACGGCGGCCUCGGCCUCGCGCGUCCCCCGGAACGACCGGACCCGCGGCGCGCCGAGCAGCUCCGUGACGCAGAGCUUGCGGACGCGGCGCCAGUGGUCGCCAUACGGCGCGAGGGCGAUUCCGAGGCCGUCGGCGGUGAGCGUGGCGAUGGUGUUCGUUCUCGGCCGCGUGGCGAAGGAGACGUCGUGGGUCUUCAUCACCUCCCUCGCCGCGUCCGCGGACGAGGCCACGACAACGGGGAGCUCGCCCAUGCGGAGCAGCAUGAGCGGGCCGUGCCGGAGGGCGAGGUCGCGCAUGGCGCGGUGCGGGAGCGCGCCCACGAGGUGGUGCAUGCUGCCGAUCACCGGCAGCUGCCAUGGCCCCGGAGGCGGGGUCGGCCGCAUGCCGACGUACUGCUUGCGACGCACCCUGAGUUUGACGACGAGGAGAAUGGGGAGCAGUAGGAUGGCGGCGGCCAAGAGGAGGCCAUGGUUCUCGUGGUCGGCUGCCAUGGCUUGGGACCAAUCGAGCGUAGUUAUGUUUCAGCUAGUAGUUGCACAGCGUUGCUCUCCGAGAAUAGUUAGUUAG
rnacentral:rRNA from 1 species